rnacentral:rRNA from 1 species
UACGUAGGGUGCGAGCGUUAAUCGGAAUUACUGGGCGUAAAGCGUGCGCAGGCGGUUUUGUAAGCCAGAUGUGAAAUCCCCGGGCUUAACCUGGGAAUGGCAUUUGGGACUGCAAGGCUUGAGUGCGGCAGAGGAGACUGGAAUUCCUGGUGUAGCAGUGAAAUGCGUAGAUAUCAGGAGGAAUACCGAUGGCGAAGGCAGGUCUCUGGGCUGACACUGACGCUCAUGCACGAAAGCGUGGGGAGCAACAA